GUGCUCACUGCAUCCACACAUGUACUAAAAGUAGAACAGUACAGAGAUUAGCCGGGCCCCUGCACUAGGAUGGCCUGCAGAUUUGUGAAGUGUUCCAUACACGA